rnacentral:rRNA from 1 species
CCUACGGGUGGCUGCAGUGGGGAAUAUUGGACAAUGGGCGAAAGCCUGAUCCAGCCAUGCUGCGUGUGUGAAGAAGGCCUUCGGGUUGUAAAGCACUUUCAGUGGGGAAGAAAGCCUUGGGGCUAAUACCCUCGAGGAAGGACAUCACCCACAGAAGAAGCACCGGCUAACUCCGUGCCAGCAGCCGCGGUAAUACGGAGGGUGCGAGCGUUAAUCGGAAUUACUGGGCGUAAAGCGCGCGUAGGCGGUCUGAUAAGCCGGUUGUGAAAGCCCCGGGCUCAACCUGGGAACGGCAUCCGGAACUGUCAGGCUAGAGUGCAGGAGAGGAAGGUAGAAUUCCCGGUGUAGCGGUGAAAUGCGUAGAGAUCGGGAGGAAUACCAGUGGCGAAGGCGGCCUUCUGGACUGACACUGACGCUGAGGUGCGAAAGCGUGGGUAGCAAACAGGAUUAGAUACCCGAGUAGUC